GAUGAAGAACGUAGCGAAAUGCGAUAAGUAAUGUGAAUUGCAGAAUUCAGUGAAUCAUCGAAUCUUUGAACGCAUCUUGCGCUCCUUGGUAUUCUGAGGAGCAUGCCUGUUUGAGUGUCAUUAAAUUCUCAACUACACUGACUUUGAAUUGGUGUGGCUUGGAUUUGGGGCAAAAUUGUUGUGGGCUUUUUGUAUAGUCUGCUCCCCUGAAAUUGAUUAGCGGUACCUUUGUGGAACUGUCUACAGGUGUGAUAAUUAUCUACAUCUUAGACAUCUGCUGGAAUGCUGCUUUCUACACCUUACUUGUAUUGACAAUCUUGACCUCAAAUCAGGUAGGACUACCCGCUGAACUUAAGCAUAUCAAUAAGCGGAGGA
rnacentral:misc_RNA from 1 species